rnacentral:rRNA from 1 species
AUUGAACGCUGGCGGCAGGCCUAACACAUGCAAGUCAAGCGGAUGAAGGGAGCUUGCUCCUGGAUUCAGCGGCGGACGGGUGAGUAAUGCCUAGGAAUCUGCCUGGUAGUGGGGGAUAAUGUCCGGAAACGGGCGCUAAUACCGCAUACGUCCUGAGGGAGAAAGUGGGGGAUCUUCGGACCUCACGCUAUCAGAUGAGCCUAGGUCGGAUUAGCUAGUUGGUGGGGUAAAGGCCUACCAAGGCGACGAUCCGUAACUGGUCUGAGAGGAUGAUCAGUCACACUGGAACUGAGACACGGUCCAGACUCCUACGGGAGGCAGCAGUGGGGAAUAUUGGACAAUGGGCGAAAGCCUGAUCCAGCCAUGCCGCGUGUGUGAAGAAGGUCUUCGGAUUGUAAAGCACUUUAAGUUGGGAGGAAGGGCAGUAAGUUAAUACCUUGCUGUUUUGACGUUACCAACAGAAUAAGCACCGGCUAACUUCGUG